rnacentral:misc_RNA from 1 species
UUCUUGCGCGCCCCCGACUAGCCAGC